rnacentral:rRNA from 1 species
GGAAGCACCGGCUAACUCCGUGCCAGCAGCCGCGGUAAUACGGGGGGUGCAAGCGUUGUUCGGAAUUAUUGGGCGUAAAGCGCGUGUAGGCGGUCUGAUUAGUCUGAUGUGAAAGCCCUGGGCUCAACCCAGGAAGUGCAUUGGAUACUGUCAGACUUGAAUACGGGAGAGGGUAGUGGAAUUCCUAGUGUAGGAGUGAAAUCCGUAGAUAUUAGGAGGAACACCGGUGGCGAAGGCGGCUACCUGGACCGAUAUUGACGCUGAGACGCGAAAGCGUGGGUAGCAAACAGGAUUAGAUACCCYKKUAAURCACGCCGUAAACGAUGAGACCUMGGUGUCCCGACACCRGGUC